GACCUGCUCCCUGAUGAUCAGAGUCUCGUGAGAGAAAACUGGCAAAGGGUGGUGAUGCAGACCCUGCUCCUUGCUGAUAAGAGGUGGGGGCCAGCUUUCCUACAGUGAAGGCUUGUCUGGGGGAUGAGAUGGAAAUGCCUUGCUGCAAGAUGAACAUGAAACAUGAAAACAAACGUCCAGCACCAGGCAGCAACUCCGGAACAGUCACUUCUUCUCCUUUGUUUUAGUUUCCAAGGAAAUCUCUUGAUGUGUGAAGGGGAGACAAGGACUUCAAGGCUGAAUCCUCUCAGAGAAAUCCACAUUGCAACAGCAGUUUCUUGAAGUGGUUGGUGCUCUAAACCAAGAACAAAAAUGUUAAUAUAAGGUGAGAAUUUGGGAGAAGGGAAGCUCAGUUCCUUGUAAAGCUUGUCCUGUUCUUCUUUGUCUAUUUCUUGUCAUGUUAUGGUGUCCAGGAAUUUAUGGAGCUCUGAAUAUCUUGGUUACAAUUGGCUUUUAAUUAUUUACUUGUAAUGGCUGGGGGACACCAUAACAUGGACAAUACACAAGCUUUAAAUUAACCCUGACCUGCGAUUUCAAACUUUUACAACAGGCCUUUAAGCGGAGUCUUACCAAAGCAGGAGAGGGGCUGCCCAGGCUCAUCUCUUCUCUCCCACCCAACUGCUGGGGCAGUGAUGACAGCUGGUGCCACAACCAAGGCCACAGACACAGAAGAGGGAAAAAUCUGGUUAACCCACCCCCAGACAAAGGU
rnacentral:lncRNA from 1 species